rnacentral:rRNA from 1 species
GACGAACGCUGGCGGCGUGCUUAACACAUGCAAGUCGAACGGAAAGGCCUUUUCGGAGGUACUCGAGUGGCGAACGGGUGAGUAACACGUGGGUGAUCUGCCCUGCACUCUGGGAUAAGCCUGGGAAACUGGGUCUAAUACCGGAUAGGACCGCACUUUAGUGUGUGUGGUGGAAAGUUUUUUCGGUGUAGGAUGAGCUCGCGGCCUAUCAGCUUGUUGGUGGGGUAAUGGCCUACCAAGGCGGCGACGGGUAGCCGGACUGAGAGGUUGGUCGGCCACAUUGGGACUGAGAUACGGCCCAGACUCCUACGGGAGGCAGCAGUGGGGAAUAUUGCACAAUGGGCGCAAGCCUGAUGCAGCGACGCCGCGGGGGGGAUGACGGCCUUCGGGUUGUAAACUCCUUUCGCCAGGGACGAAGCGUUUUGUGACGGUACCUGGAGAAGAAGCACCGGCUAACUACGUG